UGAGAGGCGGCCUGCUGGUCUGCUGGAGCGCUGCUUCCGGAUACAGAGUCCUCUGUACGGCAGGGACACGGACCCGAUGGAGUGUGUACAGAGGAGGGACACAAAAAUGAUCUAAGGGAUGGAAUACCUGCACUGCGAGGACAGGCUGAGGGAGCCGGGGCUGUUCAGCCCGGAGAUGAGAAGGCUCUGGAGAGACCUGAUAGCGGCCUGUCAGUAUCUAACGGGGCUGUAAGAAGGGGACAGACUGCUUGUCACGGUCUGUUGCGACAGGACAAGGGGAAAUCGUUUCAAAACAAAAGAGAGGAGAUUUAGAGUGGAAAUAAGGAAAAAAUGUUUUAGAACAAGGGUAGUGAAGCAGUGGAACAGAAGUCAGAGCCACCACAGCUGUAGUGCUGCCACAGCAGUAGCUGAAGGGAAUGUGCAUGGGGCAGGAGGGAGAGGAGUCAAACACAGCCUUGCAUGAUACAGCACAGCAUCUUUCAGCUGCACGCCUGGUAACGUGAGCGAAGCCUCGUAUGUUCAGUUCCUGCAGACUUGAGGCUGGCAAUCUUCCAGCAGUGGCCAGCGUAGCAGAUGCACCAGAAGCAUCAUUUUUUGUGCCAUUAUUUCUUUGAACAUUGGAAUAAAAGAAAUAAAACCUGUCCCAUUGCUGCUACUCCUGUCUUGGAGCUGCUCAUCCUUGCACAAAAUAAAUAUUUUUUUCCCUUUGUAAUGAAUCCUGUUUUACAUCAGCCCAUCCUAGGAGUGCUUUCUGUCUUGUCUCCCCAAAUACUGUAUACAAGGCACAGUCUGACCAGAGGAGAGGACAUCAUUGCUUAAGCCUGAAGUUCUAAGUGGACUUGUUGAAAGACAAAGGAGAGCAGUCUUCAUCCUUGGGAGGGGCAGAAUAUAUGACUUCCAUGUCACUGUACCACUGCAGAGUCAUGUGUUUCAGACACACAGCUCCUCCCAGUUUCAGUCUCUCCAUUUCUGCUUUGUGUUACUCUUUACAGUGGACGCCAGACUGGAAGUAGUGAAGCUGCCAAGCUGUAAUGUGGUGGCAUGAAAGGAUCUCACUGUGAUGGUGAAGAAGGUCUGCUGUCCGAGAGGUGGAUGUCCCAGAACUGUGGCAGAGGUGAGCACUCCAGCUUCCAUCAGGCCUGCUGGGGCAAUGGGAAGAAGUGAUGCAAUGUUCUUAGAGGGACACAUGGAAGAAUCUGUCUGCAUCUACAAGCAGUUGAUGAGCCAGAUAAAUGAACCUGCAUUAGCACGUGUGGACAAAUGUUUUCAAAUCAAACCAUACUAGAGCCUAAGUACUUG
ensembl:lncRNA